rnacentral:rRNA from 1 species
UACGAAGGGGCUAGCGUUGCUCGGAAUCACUGGGCGUAAAGGGUGCGUAGGCGGGUCUUUUAAGUCAGGGGUGAAAUCCUGGAGCUCAACUCCAGAACUGCCUUUGAUACUGAGGAUCUUGAGUUCGGGAGAGGUGAGUGGAACUGCGAGUGUAGAGGUGAAAUUCGUAGAUAUUCGCAAGAACACCAGUGGCGAAGGCGGCUCACUGGCCCGAUACUGACGCUGAGGCACGGAAAGCGUGGGGAGCAAACAGG